GCGGAUGUGGCGGAAUCGGCAGACGCGCUAGAUUCAGGUUCUAGUGCCCUUUACCGGGCGUGGAGGUUCAAGUCCUCUCAUCCGCA
rnacentral:tRNA from 1 species